rnacentral:lncRNA from 1 species
UUCUCCUUUUUCAUUUUCCUUUUUUUCUCUUAAAAAAAAAAAAAAGUUAAUUUUAUACCGGACAUUAAAAAUAUAAUAAAUUAUAAAUAUAUACCUUCAAAGUUCAAUUUUUAUAUAUUAUUUCUAUAAAAAUUCUAAUAUUUUUAAAUAUGUUUAUCUGAUUUGCUAUCGUUAAAAUACUGUUUAUUUUAUAAGGCUUCGUUUGGUUCGAAUAUAAGCAAAAACUAGAUAUUACAGGGAUAGAUAUAAGUAUGAGGAUAAGAAAAAUAACGUUUAGAUAAAAAAUUGGGUUGUUUCCGAGUAGCGUUUGGAUAUGUAAUAUGGAAUAAGAAAAAUAGUGGAUAGUUAUAUAUAGAAAAUAGAGGUAUUGAUGGGGAUAGUUAUAUCAGCUUAUUUCAGAUACCCGAGAACUAUUAUUCUCGGAUAAAAAAUUUGUGUUUGGAUAUAAAGGGGGUAAGGAGUUAUCUCUCCCCUUAUCCCUGAUCGAAACGCUACCUAAGUGAAUAUCCCUCUAAAAGUCCCAACUAUUAAUUAAUGGGGGGUAAAAAGGUCAAUUCAUUUUAUAAACUAAUCAGAGUUAAGUAUUUUAUCUAUAGUUAACUAAUUUUUUCUAACGGAUCUUAAAAAUUUUGCACGAAUAAUAUAUAAAAAUUAAACUUUAUAGAAAUAUAUAUUUAUCAUUUAUUAUAUUUGUAGGGAUCUGUAUGAAAUUAACUCAAAAAAAAAAAAAUAAAUAAAAAAAGAAAAAUUGUUUGAUGGGGCGUGGUCCUAUAAUUGAGCACGGGCCACGCGCGUGCUCUGGGUACGCGGUACUUCUUUUGGCUUCGCUCCCCGAUGUUUCUUUCACGUUUGAGGCCACUCUCUCCCUUUCUCACGGUUACCCAUAAAUGUCGCCUGUGUAUUGUUCAAUAUAUUCUAUAAUUCAGAUUUAACAGCUAAUAUGACAUCAUAAAUAUUUAACUAUAUUAUUUUAGAUUAUACUUAAUUAUAAAAUAUUAAUUUUUAGACGAGUAGAACUACUAUGCUAUCGAAAGUAUAAAAAAUCUGGUGCUUCCGACUUUUUAGCUCUUAGAUCAGUCCCUUUAAUUAUUUCUAUUUUUUGAAUUAAUACUAUUAUUCUGUGGAACCACUCAAUUCUAGAGAUACUACUCAAUUUUAGGAGGGACCGCAAUCAUCCCAAUUGUACAAUUCUUGAUCCAAGGGUCAAAAAAUCGGAAGCAUCAAAUCCUCUAUAUUUUCGGUAGCUUUUUAGUUAAGUUGAUUUUAAUAUGACUUCAUAAAAAAAAAACACAGCCAGUAU